rnacentral:miRNA from 12 species
UAAUAUGUUGGCUUGAGAUUGUGAAGCUGUUUGGAUUUUCAGGAAAUUUGGCAAUGCAGUGGGACUGCAUACGGUAUUGAAAACCUAAUUGCUGAAGUAUUUUGUC